rnacentral:snoRNA from 1 species
ACCUUCUCCCAGAUUUUUGUUGGAAGUCUCUGCCAUUUCCAGUGAAAGACUCGAGCAAGGAAGAACAAGUGCAUGAGGCAAUCAAAGAGGGCAGUCGGCAGAUCUGACCAUUGCUAUUUUGAGGCUUCAUCGACAC